UCUUGGGUCUUUGUCUGUGCAUGUUUUUAUCUGUAAAAUUUCUAAGAGUGGAAUUUCUAGGUUUUUCUGCAUUUAAAAAUGUGUAGAUACUGCAAAUCAAUUGCCCUCCAAAAAGGACCACACCAAUUUAUACGCUUAUAAACAAAGCCUGUGAGUGUUUCUUACCUGACACCCUCAGUCCCACUGGAUGCUUUAAAACUCUUUCAUCCUUACCAAUCUAAUCAGUGAAAAAUGGAACUGCAGGUUAUUGGUUUUCCCUUGCCCAUUUAAAAAAUGUUGGUGUGAAUGAUUUGGGGACCCUUGGCCUAUCAAAGAAAUUACCUUUUUGUCAUAUGUAUUCUAUGGGUAUUCCCUAGUUUGUCUUUUAACUUUAUUUUUUGCUUGUAAAGAUAUUUCUGUACAGUGUUUUACAUUUCAAUGUAAUUAAGUGGAUCAGUUUUUUUAUUUAUGAUUUCUGGAGCUCAAUAAAUAUUAAGUGAAUCCAA
rnacentral:lncRNA from 1 species